rnacentral:rRNA from 1 species
AGAGUUUGAUCCUGGCUCAGAGUUAACGCUGGCAUCGUGCAUAACACAUGCAAGUCGAACGGGACUUGGUUUGUAGCAAUACAGAAUUAAGUUAGUGGCAGACGGGUGAGUAAUGUAUAAGGAACCUACCUCUGAGUGGGGAAUAACAGUCCGAAAGGAUUGCUAAUACCCCAUAACAUAACUAGGUGGCAUCACUUAGUUAUCAAAGAUUUAUCGCUUGGAGAUGGUCUUAUAUUCUAUCAGCUAGUUGGCAGUGUAACGGACUACCAAGGCUACGACGGAUAGCCGGCCUGAAAGGGCGACCGGCCACAAGGGCACUGAGACACGGGCCCUACUCCUACGGGAGGCAGCAGUGGGGAAUUUUGGACAAUGGGCGCAAGGCCCUGAUCCAGCAACGAUGCGUGGAGGACGAAGGUUUUCGGAUUGUAAACUCCUUUUGUGAGGGAAGAAACAAAUGACGGUACCUCACGAAUAAGCCACGGCUAACUACGUGCCAGCCGCCGC